CUAUUGUUACUAAGUCAAAAACAUAAACCAUAUUAUCCAUAAGCUUACUGCUGAUGAUUUUUAUGUUUCAAAUACGACAAAUUUCUAACCUUGAACACAGUCUGCUGAUUUUCUCUUUAAGCAACUUUAUUACACGUAAGAACUUAUAUUUGGCGCAAGUUAUGUAUAAUAAUUUAGACAGAGAAGAUGGCAGAAAAUAACGAAGUUUGUCACAUUACAUUAGAAUUUCAAAUCAGAAUUUUCUCACGGCGUUACUUCACUCGCUUUUGUAAUUAAAAAAGUGAAGAAAAGACAGGUUCAUGAGGAUUGUGACGAGAAUGAGAAUGGA